UACACCGGAUCUGGGUCAGCGCCUCCACACGCUUACGUGAACAACCCGAGGGCAUGUGGUCUGUGAUUGUCUAAAGUGAUGCAUCAGUGCUGCAACUGCAAAGUUUAAAGGAAGUUGUCAAUGCAGUAGAGCUUCAGACAAACUUUGGGUAGCCAUUUUCAAGUUAGCCAUUUCCUCCAACUGACUGAGCAAAGAAACAUGCAGAUCUUUCACCCGACCACUGCGUUCCUUAUAAUGGUUGUUCUCUGCAGUCUUCUCUGGCAGUGGUGACUGUGAUAUACUCGCGUGAACCGGUAACGAAGAUGGAAGGCCUCAAGUGCACGGUGAAAUAUAAGAUACAGGAUUGCGACAUUCAGACCAAUUGGUGGUAUAUGAACAUCCGUGAGUCUUUGCAAAUCACGGAUCCGAGCAGAUAUCUAAUCACAGUAAAUGAAACAGAAAGAGAGGAGUACAGGCUAAGGAACAUUUUCCUGACAUUGAAUUCCUUGAGACGUUCAGACAGUGGCUUCUAGCAGUGUGAUGCCGAAUGUCUCAACAGUGGGACUCUAGCGAGAGGCCAUCUCGUGCACCUCAUUGUCACAGCUGAGCCGUAUAAAGGUCUGAAGUUCUCAGCAUGGAGCGGCCAGUUAAAGGCAGACGCAGCUGCGCUAGCACUCAGUGCUGUAUUAUUAAUAUUAUGGUGUUAUUAAAUGACAUUGUGUUUUCAGU